rnacentral:rRNA from 1 species
UACGGAGGGGGCUAGCGUUGUUCGGAAUUACUGGGCGUAAAGCGCUCGUAGGCGGCUUUGUAAGUUAGAGGUGAAAGCCCAGGGCUUAACCCUGGAAUUGCUUUUAAGACUGCAUCGCUAGAAUCGUGGAGAGGUGAGUGGAAUUCCGAGUGUAGAGGUGAAAUUCGUAGAUAUUCGGAAGAACACCAGUGGCGAAGGCGACUCACUGGACACGUAUUGACGCUGAGGUGCGAAAGCGUGGGGAGCAAACAGG